rnacentral:lncRNA from 1 species
UUUCGAUGAUUUGGUUGAUUCUUCUCUCUCAAAUAAUCUCUCGUAUGAUGUAAAACAGAUGAUAAUUUCUCACUAGAAUGUAAGUGAAAGUCUAUAUCGAUUUCUCAACAAAAUCUGAUCAGAAUUUUAUUUAAUUUAAAAAGAUAAAAAAUAAAAGGUAUAUUAAGUAGUUUAUUUUUUAAAAAUUUAAUUUUUAUUUAUAGUAAAUUUAAAUUUGAAUAUGAUUAACAGAAUCAUUUAUGAAAAUUCUAAGGCUAGUAAUUA